GGACGAACGCUGGCGGCGUGCUUAACACAUGCAAGUCGAGCGGUAAGGCCCUUUCGGGGGUACGACGAGCGGCGAACGGGUGAGUAACACGUGGGUGACCUGCCCUCAGCUCUGGGAUAAGCCUGGGAAACCGGGUCUAAUACUGGAUAUGACUCCAUGACGCAUGUUGUGGGGUGGAAAGCCUCGUGCGGCUGAGGAUGGGCCCGCGGCCUAUCAGCUUGUUGGUGGGGUGAGGCCUACCAAGGCGACGACGGGUAGCCGGCCUGAGAGGAUGAUCAGCACACUGGAACUGAGACACGGUCCAGACUCCUACGGGAGGCAGCAGUGGGGAA
rnacentral:rRNA from 1 species